rnacentral:rRNA from 1 species
CCCUACGGGUGGCUGCAGUGGGGAAUAUUGGACAAUGGGGGCAACCCUGAUCCAGCCAUGCCGCGUGUGUGAAGAAGGCCCUCGGGUUGUAAAGCACUUUCAGUGAGGAAGAACGCCUGGUGGUUAAUACCCAUCAGGAAAGACAUCACUCACAGAAGAAGCACCGGCUAACUCCGUGCCAGCAGCCGCGGUAAUACGGAGGGUGCGAGCGUUAAUCGGAAUUACUGGGCGUAAAGCGCGCGUAGGUGGCUUGAUAAGCCGGUUGUGAAAGCCCCGGGCUCAACCUGGGAACGGCAUCCGGAACUGUCAAGCUAGAGUGCAGGAGAGGAAGGUAGAAUUCCCGGUGUAGCGGUGAAAUGCGUAGAGAUCGGGAGGAAUACCAGUGGCGAAGGCGGCCUUCUGGACUGACACUGACACUGAGGUGCGAAAGCGUGGGUAGCAAACAGGAUUAGAUACCCCAGUAGUC